AGCUUUUCUGUCUUCUGGAAGUCUUCCAAGAAACAUUCUUGGUGCUCUACAAGCUUACAGGAGGACUGCACUGUGUUUGGGAAAGUUGGCCUUUUCCUGAAGGCUUACUACAUCAUGGAAAAUGGAAGACUUUUGUUUUCUUUAGUCUACAGAGAAGAAUGGCAGCACAUGCUAUUCAACUGCAUCUCCCAUGGGAUGCUUCUCUGGUGAAUGAAAGAUGGGACUGAGCACUCAUCAUAUUGGUAUGAGCUCUGUGCUUCUUGCCUUCAUGCCAACAUUCAAGUCCCUCUUCUUAAGGGUUGUUUCCUUCUACUUUCUUCUUUUGGAAGACCAGAAGGCCAAUGUGAUGUCAUGCUGUUGCCCAAGUGCUCGUGUGGUGGGCAUCUUCUCCAGGACUUGAUCCUCUCCAUAGAGAGGUUUAGCAUGGUCAGGCUGGAGAGAGGUGGUGGAGGUGAAGGUUGGGCUUUGGUUUGCCUGGCCUGUAGUGCUAGGUUGUAAAGACAACAUCCUUCCCCAGAGACCAUCUCGCCAGCUUCUUCAAGGGGAAUGCCCUAAGGGGAGAUAUCCCAUGGAGACACCGCAAUACUGAGAACAGCACAACUGAGAGAAAUUUUCU